rnacentral:rRNA from 1 species
UACGAAGGGGGCUAGCGUUGCUCGGAUUGACUGGGCGUAAAGGGCGCGUAGGCGGUUCGUACAGUCAGACGUGAAAUUCCUGGGCUCAACCUGGGGGCUGCGUUUGAUACGUGCGGGCUUGAGUGCGGAAGAGGGUCGUGGAAUUCCCAGUGUAGAGGUGAAAUUCGUAGAUAUUGGGAAGAACACCGGUGGCGAAGGCGGCUCACUGGCUCAUUACUGACGCUCAGGCGCGACAGCGUGGGGAUCAAACAGG